rnacentral:lncRNA from 1 species
CUAACAACAUUGUUUAAGAUCUAAUCAAAUGAUUGAAAACUCCGAGGUGCCUCAUCCCGUCCUCGCGUCCCGUUACGUCUACUUUCACCCUACCAAAUCAGAAUUAAAAAUAUGGAUGAGUCACUAUAUCAUGACUCAGCAUGGUUUCCACUACAUAUCAGUCAGACCGCAUGGUAAAGCAAUUAAAAUCAUAAUACUUAUUCAUUAUAUAUAUAACAUUCACACUUCACAUAUAAUUUUGACAUCCGAUAACACUCACACUGCAAUUGUCAUUUGGUUCAUACCAACACUCCCAUCACACACUCACUAAUACUUCGCUUAUAUAUCCAUCACAAGAUUUCACAUAUAAAUUCACAAACCAAUUAAAUCGUGAAGAUAAAUAUAAACUCAUCUGGUAAAUAAGAUAGGUGAGAAAAUCUGUAAAUAACAGUGAAUACAUCCAACUCAAGAGUAAAAAUCCAUAGUGGAAAUAAAAUUCUAAAUUCGUGUAACUCAAUCUAAAAAUUCUAAAUGUCAGGUAAAACUCUGAAAGAAAGAGUAUGAAUUCUGAAAAUCAUAGUACAUAACCGAGAUAAACAAAAAAAAACGAAUCAAAUGACAUGUGUCUCAAGAACCAUGGGAUCAUAAAACUCUAACAAUCAUGUAAAUCAAGUCUGAAAAUUCUAAAUGUUGGAUAAAACUCGUAAAGAAAGAGUUUGAAUUCUGAAAAUUAAGUUAAAUGAUGUGUCUAAAUAAAUAUAAAAUCCAUUGUCUAAUUUCACCCUAAUAAAAUAAAUCUCAACUCUACCGCCAGCAUAACUCUGUUUAAAAUACUACACUAUAAAACAGAAUAUAGCUCAGUAAAAAAAACCAUUCACGGAAGUUCAGAUCAACCCCAAUUCACCCCUCUAAAUAUCACUUAAUACCCAUGGUAUUUAUCCAAGAUAUCAACCCAAUACAAACUAAUCUGUAUAUGGUGAGGCAUCCGAUACAAUCUAUAACACAUUUUAUUAAAAAACACUUGCACUAUCUAUUAAACAAACACAUCAGGAUUCCCUUAUCUCCCAAAUCCACCAAAUAAAUCAAUAGAACCCAAACAGUAAUCACACAAUCUGUAAAUUAAUUAUCUCAUGGACAUACCCAAUCCGCAACUAUUGUGCAACAUUUCAGCAACCCAAUCAAAGCUACCAUGCAUUUCUAAUCAAAUGUUACCCAUAGUAUACACUACCGAUGCAUUUAGAUGACCACUCACCACUCAAUCCCAUACCUCGUUUUGUUUUUGAGACCUUUCCCUACACAAUCUGCACCAAGCUUUCCAACCACCUCGACAUCUCCUCGCUCGUUUCCCGGAUGGUCCUUCGCCGGAGCUUCGUCUCCGUCCCCACCCUAGUCUUGCCGGAAUAUUGCCCUUCUUCCUCCACUCACGUUUCCCCCCACCUUCCCUCUUUCCAUCCUUUGU